GAAUAUUGGGCAAUGGACGGAAGUCUGACCCAGCCAUGCCGCGUGCAGGAUGACGGCCCUAUGGGUUGUAAACUGCUUUUCUGAGGGAAGAAAAAUAUUUAUUUAUAGGUAUCUGACUGUACCUCAGGAAUAAGCACCGGCUUACUCCGUGCCCGCAGCCGCGGUAAUACGGAGGGUGCAAGCGUUAUCCGGAAUUACUGGGUUUAAAGGGUGCGUAGGCGGCCAGAUAAGUCAGUGGUGAAAGUUUGCCGCUUAACGGUAGAAUUGCCAUUGAUACUGUUUGGCUUGAAUCAGGAUGAGGUUAGCGGAAUGAGACAUGUAGCGGUGAAAUGCAUAGAUAUGUCUUAGAACACCAAUUGCGAAGGCAGCUAGCUAGACCUCGAUUGACGCUGAGGCACGAAAGCGUGGGUAGCGAACAGG
rnacentral:rRNA from 1 species